GACAGCCAGGAUGUUGGCUUAGAAGCAGCCAUCAUUUAAAGAAAGCGUAAUAGCUCACUGGUCGAGUCGGCCUGCGCGGAAGAUGUAACGGGGCUAAACCAUGCACCGAAGCUGCGGCAGCGACGCUUAUGCGUUGUUGGGUAGGGGAGCGUUCUGUAAGCCUGCGAAGGUGGCCUGUGAGGGUUGCUGGAGGUAUCAGAAGUGCGAAUGCUGACAUAAGUAACGAUAAAGCGGGUGAAACGCCCGCUCGCCGGA
rnacentral:rRNA from 1 species